CCUACGGGAGGCAGCAGUGAGGAAUAUUGGUCAAUGGACGAGAGUCUGAACCAGCCAAGUAGCGUGAAGGAUGACUGCCCUAUGGGUUGUAAACUUCUUUUAUAUGGGAAUAAAAUGUUCCACGUGUGGGAUUUUGUAUGUACCAUAUGAAUAAGGAUCGGCUAACUCCGUGCCAGCAGCCGCGGUAAUACGGCGGAUCCGAGCGUUAUCCGGAUUUAUUGGGUUUAAAGGGGGCGUAGGUGGUUUGUUACGUCAGUUGUGCAAUUUUGCGGCUCAACCGUAAAAUUGCAGUUGACACUGGCAGUCUUGAGUACAUUAGAGUUGGGCGGCAUUCGUGGUGUAGCGGUGAAAUGCUUAGAUAUCAC
rnacentral:rRNA from 1 species